UCUUAAUUAGUAUAUUUAGUACAUUUGACUUCCAAUCAAUCGGUUUGACAAAACAAAUUAAGAA
rnacentral:tRNA from 1 species